rnacentral:pre_miRNA from 1 species
AUCACCUGGGAAUCUUGCUAAAAUGCAGAUUCUGUUGAGUAGGUCUACCCCUGGAGAUUCUGCAUGUAUAACAAGCUCUCAUGUGAAGCCAG